rnacentral:rRNA from 1 species
UGGUAGUNCACGCCGUAAACGAUGAGUGCUAGGUGUUAGACCCUUUCCGNGGUUUAGUGCCGCAGCUAACGCAUUAAGCACUCCGCCUGGGGAGUACGACCGCAAGGUUGAAACUCAAAGGAAUUGACGGGGGCCCGCACAAGCGGUGGAGCAUGUGGUUUAAUUCGAAGCAACGCGAAGAACCUUACCAGGUCUUGACAUCCCUCUGACCGCUCUAGAGAUAGAGUUUUCCUUCGGGACAGAGGUGACAGGUGGUGCAUGGUUGUCGUCAGCUCGUGUCGUGAGAUGUUGGGUUAAGUNNNNCAACGAGCGCAACCCCUAUUGUUAGUUGCCAUCAUUCAGUUGGGCACUCUAGCGAGACUGCCGGUAAUAAACCGGAGGAAGGUGGGGAUGACGUCAAAUCAUCAUGCCCCUUAUGACCUGGGCUACACACGUGCUACAAUGGCUGGUACAACGAGUCGCAAGCCGGUGACGGCGAGCUAAUCUCUUAAAGCCAGUCUCAGUUCGGAUUGUAGGCUGCAACU